rnacentral:rRNA from 1 species
GACGAACCGUGCGAACGUUGUUCGGAAUCACUGGGCUUAAAGGGCGCGUAGCGGGUCGCCAAGUUUGGGGUGAAAUCCUCCGGCUCAACCGGAGAACUGCCUCGGAUACUGGGUGCCUCGAGGGUGGUAGGGGUAUGCGGAACUAUCGGUGGAGCGGUGAAAUGCGUUGAUAUCGAUAGGAACUCCGGUGGCGAAGGCGGCAUACUGGACCACAUCUGACGCUGAGGCGCGAAAGCCAGGGGAGCAAACGGG